rnacentral:rRNA from 1 species
AGUGAACGCUGGCGGUAGGCCUAACACAUGCAAGUCGAACGGCAGCACAGUAAGAGCUUGCUCUUACGGGUGGCGAGUGGCGGACGGGUGAGGAAUACAUCGGAAUCUACUUUUUCGUGGGGGAUAACGUAGGGAAACUUACGCUAAUACCGCAUACGACCUACGGGUGAAAGCAGGGGAUCUUCGGACCUUGCGCGAUUGAAUGAGCCGAUGUCGGAUUAGCUAGUUGGCGGGGUAAAGGCCCACCAAGGCGACGAUCCGUAGCUGGUCUGAGAGGAUGAUCAGCCACACUGGAACGGAGACACGGUCCAGACGCCUACGGGAGGCAGCAGUGGGGAAUAUUGGACAAUGGGCGCAAGCCUGAUCCAGCCAUACCGCGUGGGUGAAGAAGGCCUUCGGGUUGUAAAGCCCUUUUGUUGGGAAAGAAAAGCAGCAGGUUAAUACCACGCUGUUCUGACGGUACCCAAAGAAUAAGCACCGGCUAACUUCGUG